rnacentral:rRNA from 1 species
UACGUAGGGUGCAAGCGUUGUCCGGAAUUAUUGGGCGUAAAGAGCUCGUAGGCGGUUUGUCGCGUCGGCUGUGAAAACCUGAGGCUCAACCUCGGGCCUGCAGUCGAUACGGGCAAACUAGAGUUCGGUAGGGGAGACUGGAAUUCCUGGUGUAGCGGUGGAAUGCGCAGAUAUCAGGAGGAACACCGAUGGCGAAGGCAGGUCUCUGGGCCGAAACUGACGCUGAGGAGCGAAAGCGUGGGGAGCGAACAGG